CUUAGUGAUCUGCAAGAUCAUAUGUUUGAUCAAGAGGCAGGGUUAAGUCAUUAUCAAAUUAUAAUAAGACUUAUAAUAAAAAGAUACCUGCACAUAAGAAUGCAUCAUUUUGGUAAUAAAGUAAAUCAAAAAUUACAAUUAAAUAUCAGGCAAAAACUAAACAAGGCUGUACUUUUUCAAGGGCAAUAAACCAAGUGAAGAACAAAUUAUCUGAAAAUUUCUAAUGACUUUAUUGGUUAUAAUAAAUUAAUUUUAUUAGACAUAAAUAUAACAUAUAUAUAUUAUUUGUAUUUAUUAUUGAUUUAUAAGAUUAAUAUUUUCUUUUCGCGAUACAUAUUAAUUAUAAUAAUACAAUUAUUUUAUUUGAUGUAAAUAUAACAUAAUAUAUAUUAUUUGUAUUUUUCAUGAUAUAUAUUUACAUUAUUGAUUUUUAUA